rnacentral:rRNA from 1 species
UACGGAGGGUGCGAGCGUUAAUCGGAAUUAUUGGGCGUAAAGCGCGCGCAGGCGGCCUUUUAAGUCUGAUGUGAAAGCCCACGGCUCAACCGUGGAAGGUCAUUGGAAACUGAAAGGCUUGAGUACAGAAGAGGAAAGCGGAAUUCCACGUGUAGCGGUGAAAUGCGUAGAGAUGUGGAGGAACACCAGUGGCGAAGGCGGCUUUCUGGUCUGUAACUGACGCUGAGGCGCGAAAGCGUGGAGAGCAAACAGG